AAAUAGCACUAUUCGAAUUCACAUUCAUAAGCACUACUGUAUUUUUAAUAAUAUUAAUUUAUAGAUAUUAAUUAAUAAUCUACACAGAAAUUGACAAAAGUUUACCUGGUUUUCAUUGGUUAUAUUAAAAUUAUUGGUCAAUACCAUUACUACAACUUUAGAUUACAAAUCUCUAUGUUUAUAAAAUAUUCAUGAAUACUUGUAUAAUCUCCAGAGAACAAUUAGAGGUGUGCCGAAUUAUUUCUGAGCUAGUCUAUACACUUCUCGACUGCCAGAGGAAGUAAUUGAUAAUUAUAAAUUUUUAGAACACGAUCAAUUAGAAUUCAGUUUCACACAAUAAAUAUAUCACUUGUAAUGCAUAAAUGUGCACCGAACGUGUUUGACGAUAGAAUGAACGCCGGUAUGAAAAUGAAAGGAGAAUAACGGUGACGUAAUAUCGGAUGAUCACAACGUCAUACAAUCAUACUCUUAUUAUCGCAUGAGUACAAAUACAUUUCCAAUUCUAUAAAAUUAUUUCCCACAAAUUUAAUUGUUUUAA
rnacentral:misc_RNA from 1 species